rnacentral:rRNA from 1 species
UGGCGGACGGGUGAGUAAUGUCUGGGAAACUGCCUGAUGGAGGGGGAUAACUACUGGAAACGGUAGCUAAUACCGCAUAACGUCGCAAGACCAAAGAGGGGGACCUUCGGGCCUCUUGCCAUCGGAUGUGCCCAGAUGGGAUUAGCUAGUAGGUGGGGUAACGGCUCACCUAGGCGACAAUCCCUAGCUGGUCUGAGAGGAUGACCAGCCACACUGGAACUGAGACACGGUCCAG